UACGGAGGGGGUUAGCGUUGUUCGGAAUGACUGGGCGUAAAGCGCGCGUAGGCGGAUCAGGAAGUUGGGGGUGAAAUCCCGGGGCUCAACCCCGGAAUGGCCUUCAAAACUCCUGGUCUUGAGUUCGAGAGAGGUGAGUGGAAUUCCGAGUGUAGAGGUGAAAUUCGUAGAUAUUUGGAGGAACACCAGUGGCGAAGGCGGCUCACUGGCUCGACACUGACGCUGAGGUGCGAAAGCGUGGGGAGCAAACAGG
rnacentral:rRNA from 1 species